AAUUAAGUGGCUGAAGUUUAGGCAAUAAAUUGUAAAUUUAUUUAUGGCGUUAAGCCCUUGGUUA
rnacentral:tRNA from 1 species